UGACAGGAGCUAAAAUUUAGGGGAGGAACUAAACACCCCGAGAGGUGUGCGCGUGCUCGUGAGCAUCGUUCCGGUUCUCAGGUAGCUUGAUUCCCAAAUUACCGUCCCUCUCAUGAGCUGUGCGUUCCGUUGCGACUUUACCCUAGUGGUCCUGCCGAUUGCAUUGCAUCACGAAGAAGGCCGGAUCAUAGGCCACCCACGUCGUCAGUUAACUUAAAGGAAAAGACAACCCGUAUUGCUGGAUGAGGUAACGAGUCCUUGCGCUCCUCCUCCACACCUCUCCUCAUGGUCACCACUCACCAACC
rnacentral:lncRNA from 1 species